rnacentral:lncRNA from 1 species
GAGAGACCAGGGGAGCUAAGUGAUUGAUGGAGCUUCCGGAAGUCUUGGCGGCUGUACCAGCGCUAAUGUUCCUCCUUUUCCUGAGGUGGAGUGGGCCGAAGAGGUGGUCAGGUAUUCUAAUCACAGAAUUACUGGAGCAUCAAGAAGUGCCUGCAUGCUUGGAAGGGCUUCCAGGCAGAUGAACACACCUCAGCACCGGGUGGCAUUUUCCCAGGGUGCAACCCGGACCGGCUCUGGGUCACACUGACAAGGACAACAGGGUUAACAAUUUCCAGAGACAGCCCGUACAUAGAAGGAAUGUUUACUGAAAAAAAUGAAGAGGGGUCAGGGCAAGGCGAGGAGCAAGAAGCACCCCCAAGGAAACAGAGAAGACCAGUACAACUGUACCUCUUUGCCAGCUGCACCAUCCGUACCAGUCUCCUGGGGUGGAAGUGUCCAGCACAGAGACUGCCACACUGCAAGACGAAGGGGCUGGACACACGGAAGAGAGAGGCGGAACCCUGCACCCCCUCAACCUCAGCCCUACUGAGUCUCCAAUGGGGCCACGCUUCUGAGUGCACCUCCCCGUGUCAUCUGUAAUGUGAGGGGGAACCAGGCUUGAUAUGGCAUUCCCAAUCCAGGGC